AGUUUCUAGUUUUAUUUUAACAAUCUUGCUUUUUAAAAAAUACAAGUUCUGAUUAAUGCCAGGGGGAUGCCAAGUGUCCACUGGCCACAGGCCUUCUCUCACUUCAGUUUCUCCUCCUGGGAGUAGUCGUCUCUUUUGUCAGGAUAGCAAACGGAGCAAUAAAAUGCUAAAUGGCUGAGUUGUGUUAAAAGGCUUGUAACAGAAUCCCAAGGGGCAUUAUGGCACAACAUCAUUUGGCAAAGUGUUACUGACCUGGAGCAGUAAUUUUAAUGCUGGCAGAAUAAAUGGUUGGUGUGCAAGGUGCAUCAGGUGAGGUAUUGUUUGCACUUUAACGGUACCACUGUCACUCUUUUCUGCAAACGGAUCUAUUAUGAGGUGAAAGGUUUAAAUAGAAACAAGAGCUCAAUUACCAAAGAGAAGGGUAUUCAAAAGGAGAAGCAGGUUUAUAAACAAGACAUUGAAGAGCUUUAAAUGUGUUUCUCUGUAGUAAGUAAUUAAGUGGCAGCAGAGCUGCCCUUUUAGUUGCAAGGGGACUUCUGUGCAGCCAGCUAUUACGAGAGCUUUAUACUCUCCAAACAGCACAUUCACUAACAACCUAGAAACCAUGGCACUACAAAGAACUGCUUUUUCUACAAAGGAAUUCUGUGCAACAGAAGCAUCAUUUUGCAGGGUCAUCUGUCCCAGGCAACCUUUGCAUCCACGGACAAGUCUGAAUUGUGAUUUCCCUGUCACUGGUUUGCAUAUGCCAUGGCUAGAUAAACUUCAAAUAUGCCAUUUUCUCAAUAAUGUCCUAACUGGAAAAAGGCACUCACUUGAAACAGCAACUUUGUUAUGUGCUUUGAAAGGGUACUGAGCUGAGACUCAAUAAUUCUGCUGUGAUUCUUGUAGUGUCUCAACGGUGCUUACACUUCAGUGUGUUAGGGAUUAGCAAUUUGGUGCUAUCAUGACCUCAGCCAUAGGUGCAGCAAAACAUAGUUGAGGGUGAAUAGCUUUUUAUUUCCUUCACCUUGUUUGUGGCAAAGUUGUUUAGCUGGUUUUUUGGUUUUGGGGUUUUUUCCUUCAGCUGUUUGACUGAAGCAUGGAGUACUUCUGGGUACAGGUAUCAUCUUAUUCUCUCCUGAAUAACACUGUAGUUCUUGCUGAGCUUUUACUAUCUGAACGCUGAAAAAGGAAGGUGCAAGGAAACAUAUCUGUACAAGCAAAAUCUACCUGUAAGUACACCUCCUUCCGUCAGGAACUUAGCAUCCCCUCGACACAUCUCACAUCACAUAGGAAAAGUUCACAGUACCAAGUUUUACAAUCACAGUCACUCACAGCACCAAGAUUGUCCAGACAAAAAGAAGUUACCGAAGAGAAAGGCCACUGGCCAAAAUUCACACAAUUGCCCAUGUAAGGGCUCAGGUUAAAAAUAAAGCACUGGUGGGAAAGUUAAGCCUGGCCUUUGCCAACUCUCCACUUGGCACGGGGAGAGCAGCGAGUCACCUGUCCUAUAGCUGCAGCUCUGAACAGAACAGCUCUAUUGCCCCAGCUUUCCAAGGGGCUUUUCUAGCUCCUCCAAACUCAUCAGCCACCAAGAGCUGGGGGAGAAGAGGCCCAUGGCACCCCCACUUCUGCCUGUGGGAGCUGGAAGUCACCAGACUGUAAACAUUUUGUUGUAGCAGUCCACUGGAGCAGGCAGUUGAUUCCACCCUGUGAAAUGGGAAGUGGGAUAGAGGCUCAGUCCCACUGAAGCCCAAGCCCUGAAGGAAAGAAUGGAUGUGUGUGCAGGAGAGGUCUGGGCUGUGCCUGCAGUCCUGCUGUUGGCUCGGGGUAGCAGUUGGUUGUGCUUCACUUCCCCUUUCCGUCAGGACAGCUCAAAAAAAGGCUCAGGAUGUGAAACUGGCAUUUUCCCAAUGAAUGCAGCCUUGCCCAGAUAACAAAAUAUAAACCUGGGAGGGGCAAAGUCCUUCCUCCAAAUGUGGCCUCUGUGCUCCUGCUUCCAUUGGGCUGGUUUCAGGAGCAGCUGUAGCCAGACAGAAGAGCAGGCCUUAACCUCCACCGAAUGUUCAUGGAGCUUAAAAACAAAGAUAACCAUAUUUUUAUGAGAGAUUACUAACAAUUAACUUUUACCCCACCUACUCUUACCCACAUGCACAUGGAGAACAGGAUGCUGGUACAUGGGCUAUCACCAAAGCUCGGGUGCCCUUGCUUUCUGUGCUGAAAAGUGAGGCUCACCAAGCCCGGUGCCCACCCCGAGCAGCACCAGCAUCCUCUGCUCUGCUGUUUGGGAUGGGGCAGUUUGCAGGCUGAGCCCUGUCUCUGUGCUCUCAUGCAGACAUGGAAGGGGGCCAGAGGAAAUCUUUCCAGCCUUCCCAGCCUAUGGAAAGGAAGACCGUAUGCUCUGCAUAAAAGAAAACCAAUGCUGAUUCCAUAAACAUGCAUAUUCACAGAAAUGAGAGCCCCAGCACCUGGGUGCUUCUGGCUGAAGCGAGCAGUAGGCUGCUGUAAACCCUGUUCUCACCAGAAAUAAAUGUCUCGGUGGUAGUACUGAAAUGGAGCCUAAGCUCCUGCAUUAUGUCCAUGCUAGAUUUGCGUGUUUCUUUAGCAUGUGAAGUCAACAUAAGAUGCAAAAGGUUGAAGCACAGAGGUAGACGGUUUUGGCUUGGAGAAAGUGGCUCCUAGGUUUGAAAUGACCAGCUAGCUGGCAUGCUCCCAGAGGUCCUCCAGCUGGGAUACUCUCUGCUGCUGGGAAACAGAGGCGACAGCUUUGCAAGACCUAGUGAAACCAAAGCGUGCUUCCUUUUGCCCUGCCCGCACCCCAAAGGCACGUCUCUGCUGGGCAGGGCCCUCUCGCAUCUUGUCGUUGUGGUCAGCAGGAGUUCUUAAUGGAGGGGACAAAAUCCACCGUUUGGUCCCUGUUUGUUGUGUAGGAGGGAAAGGAAAAACUAAACUUUUAUGGUCACAAAGCAACGCGAUGUCCUGGCGGGGAGCAGGAGAGGGGGAGUGGGACCCUCCGAACAGCACGGAGGGGCAGGAGCGCUAGGAGAGGACUCGACGUGAAGGGCAGUUGUGUUUUCCAGGGACAAGCGCCAGCCGUAGGCCCGUGCAGGUAGUCGGGUUUGCGCUGAGCUUCCGCUGCUGGAUGUGUCCGCGGGAGAGGGAGGAGCGCGGGAGCCCGGCGGGGCAGCCCGCGGCCCCUUCCCCUGCUCGGCCGCGGCGGCGGGAACCUGAGCAGGACCGCAGAGACACUGCGGGGAGCCCCUCGGGGGGCGGCGGCCGGGGGGAGGCUCAGCCCUGCGCGGUGACCGCCAAGGCGUUCACGUACCCGUGGGGGCCCACGUCGGCGUCCGAGAGCCCGUGGGCCAGCGGGGCUGCGGCGGCGGGAGCGGCGGCGCCGGGGCCGUACUUGGCGGGCGGCGGGGCGGCGGCGGGGCGCAGGAGGCAGCAGCAGCGGGGCGGAGAGCGCCAGCGUGAUGCGGAAGCCGGUGGUGCCCAGCGGCAGGCGCAGCUCGAUCAGCUCCAGGAUGGAGGUGCCCAGGAUCAGCGCCGCCUUGGGCGUGAAGGCGAUGGAGUAGAUGAGCCAGGCGAGGUGCGCGUAGGCAAAGUCGCCGCCGCGGGGAGGAACCCCGGCCCCGC
rnacentral:lncRNA from 1 species